UGCAGAGGGCAGCAUUCACCACAGAGUGAGCAUAUGACAACUGACAGCUUGCCCAGUGCUCAGGAAAAGAGCCUGCUAUGAGAAUAUAACAUAAAAUGACCAGGGUCUUCCCGUUAACCUUAAACACACCACAGCAUGAAUUGCCAAAGUCAUUGUGAAAGGGCAGCAUUUUUCUGAUAUUUGGUCAUUUUCCUUAAGGUUGCUGGAGUGAUGUGUGUUAAGAUUGAAAGGUGCCUGGGCCUGAGUAAGACUUCUCUGGUCACAGUUUUUCUUUGGCUCAUGUGUGACACAUUGAAGCCUGAGUUUCCCCAUCAGUAGAAUCAGUGAUUUGUUCUCCUUGAGUUGGGACUUCAACCAAAACUUCUUACCUACUGCACCUCUAAGUCAGCCUUUCACUAGAUCUUUGGUCCAUCCUUUGAGACCUUAUUCUGCACUCUAAUUGUCUACACCAGUGCCAGACAUGGAGAUACUCUGCCCUGGGGAGUGAGCAUGUGCUGGUGCAGAUUUUAAGUGAGGCACCACUUAGUUACACAGAUCUAGAAAGUAAAAAUCACUCUCACGGGGUGUGGUAGCACACAUCUUUAAUUCCAGCACUAGAGAGACAAAGAUGGGCAGAUCCCUGAGUUCCAGGCGCAAAUCCAGGAGAGCCAGAGCUACACUGAGAAACCCUGUCUCAAAAAAAAAAAAAAAAACAAAAAAAGAGGACGAGGAGAAGAAAACCACUCUCUCCAUGAGAAGUGUAUGUAUUCUUCUUGGGAGUACAUCCUUUUUAGCUUACCAAGACCUUUAGUCCAUCGAGGCUGGCCUUGAUGUUCCCAGGGGAAAAUGUAAUUGGUGUUUUGUGAACAAGAACUGUGUCAAGUCACCUCUCUGGAAAUUCAUCAGUUUAGAUACUUUUUAAUAAUGUCUCAGGCUCUCUCUUUUUAGACGUACUAAAUUCCCAGGUGGGCUCUGUGUAGGUCUCGAACUGCAGAAUCCGCUUCAGUGCCCCAUGUCCCUCAACCUGGUGCUAACGGUGAUUCGCCUCUUCUUGUCCUGCUGAGACUCAGUGUCAGUGUUUUGGGUCUUCGGAUGCAUCCUUUUGAGUGAGGGCUCUUUUGUAGCCUUUCUCGAAGCUCCUACCUGAAAUCGGAUGAGAGCACUGUGCUCAGUGCAUAAUUAUAUUAAAACGGGCAAUCCAGACCUAAGGGGGGAAAUGAUAAGGGGUGGUGCUGCCCACCUCAUCCGGGUGCAGUGAGCACUGAAGCUGGCCAGCCCUUCCUGCUGGCUGAGAGUGACGUGACAGAUUGUAAAUAGUCUUAACAAUCGUUUCCUCCACUGCAGGAAGCUCGUGCCAUAGAUUUUUAACCUCAUGGCCGUGGAGCUCAUUGUGAUGCUUCACUGCAUUUGGCUUCUGAUUGUGGGAGAUCUGCUUGAGCUCGAAGGUCCUGAGGGAAAUGUAAAGUGUCAAACAAACAGAGGACAGCAGGAGAUUCAAACUGUAACCAGUGAGCUCAGUGCCUGCCUUUGUCGGGCUCAUCACCUCCACUCUAGACAAUGUGAACGAAUCAGUGUGCACUUUUAUCAAGUGGCAUAUGGAUAAUAUGGUAAUACUGCCUUUUCUGUCUCUCAGGCUGUUUCCAUGGAAACUUCCAGGGCCAAACAAAAGCUUCCAAUCAUUCAACCAAAAGCUUGCCUUGGCUCAGAGAUGUGAGUUUCUUUAAGGAAAGCUGUUUUCCUAUAUUUGGCUGUAGAAUAAGGGCUCUUACACAUAUCCUAAGUUACAGAACAUGAUUUCCCUUCCUACUGUUCUCUGGACAUGGUAAAUUUUUAAAAAUCUCUUCUGUGGGGGUCAGUCUCCUGAAUUUCCCUCAUAUCUGCAGUCCUUCGCCUGAUAAAGCAAGGUUGGGGUCACUUCUUACAAUGAAGCCUUUUGCCUUAAAUACUGGUUUUACCCCCACGUUUCCUAGAAGGGACAUUGUCUUGAACUUCAAGGUAGACAUAUUGAAUGACCAGAGUUUUAGAAAAUGAUACUUUGCAAAAAAUGGAAAAUAUCAAAACAGUUGGGUAAGCUUAUAGAAUUUAUAUAGGCCACUCCACCGUAGCCUAGGUCAGUCAUCAC
rnacentral:lncRNA from 1 species